ensembl:lncRNA
GUUAGUUCUCCAUCCAAUGGGGUACAUCGGUAAAAUCAGGAACUAAAUAAUCUAUGGUUAAUGGUUCGGCUGUUGUAAUCCUGGAAACAGAGUCAAGGAAUGGCGAUGCUGUGAUGAGAUAAUGUAUAAUGAUUUAUCAUUGGAACCCACAUUUGACUGAGGUCGAUUGUCAUUUUAACUUUAACUUUUAAUCACCACAAACGAACAUGCACAAACUGGAUAACAUAAAAAGAAACCGGUACAUUUGAAGAUGUCCUCCGCCUCUUUGGCAGCGGUCACCGUUGAAACUGCUGCCUCUCCUGAAAAGGGCAGGACAGACUGGGAGUAAAGCCAUGGUCAAAGUGACUGGUUCAGCCCAACUUCCACUUUACCUUUUCACACCCAUAGGUCUGGCAGAGAGGAAAUGCAUGUACAUUGCUCCAUUUUUGCCAAAGUGUCAGUUUUUAUAAAAGAAGUUGGCUCGCACCGCCGCCCGCCACCCGGCGUCUCCAUCCCUCUCUCGGAAUUUCUAAAUUCUUAUCUUGGUCUGCAC